UGAUUACUUCCUCCGUCUCAAAAUUCUUGUCUUAGAUUAGUCUAGAUACGGAUGUAUCUAAUACUAAAAAGUGACUUGAUACAUCCGUAUUUAGACAAAUUUAAGACAAAAAUUUAGAAGCGGAGGGAGUACUUU
rfam:Triticum aestivum genome assembly, contig: Triticum_aestivum_CS42_TGACv1_scaffold_592732_7BS